CCCGGCACAAGCGGUGGAGUAUGUGGUUUAAUUCGAUGCAACGCGAAGAACCUUACCUGGGCUUGACAUCCCGAUCGCACUCUCUGGAAACAGAGAGGUCAGUUCGGCUGGAUCGGUGACAGGUGCUGCAUGGCUGUCGUCAGCUCGUGUCGUGAGAUGUUGGGUUAAGUCCCGCAACGAGCGCAACCCUCGUCCUUAGCUGCCAGCAUUCAGUUGGGCACUCUAAGGAGACUGCCGGUGUUAAACCGGAGGAAGGCGGGGAUGACGUCAAGUCCUCAUGGCCCUUAUGUCCGGGGCUACACACGCGCUACAAUGGCCGGUACAAAGGGUAGCAAGACCGCGAGGUGGAGCCAAUCCCAAAAAGCCGGUCUCAGUUCGGAUUGGAGUCUGCAACUCGACUCCAUGAAGUUGGAAUCGCUAGUAAUCGUGGAUCAGCAUGCCACGGUGAAUACGUUCCCGGGCCUU
rnacentral:rRNA from 1 species